CCUACGGGUGGCAGCAGUGGGGAAUAUUGCACAAUGGGGGAAACCCUGAUGCAGCGACGCCGCGUGAGUGAAGACGUAUUUCGGUAUGUAAAGCUCUAUCAGCCGGGAAGAAAAUGACGGUACGUGUAUAAGAAGCCCCGGCUAACUACGUGCCAGCAGCCGCGGUAAUACGGAGGGGGCAAGCGUUAUACGGAUUUACUGGGUGUAAAGGGAGCGUAGACGGCAGCACAAGUCUGGAGUGAAAUGCCGGGGGUUAACCCCGGAACUGCGUUGGAAACUGUGCAUCUAGAGUGCAGGAGAGGUAAGUGGAAUGCGUAGUGGAGCGGUGAAAUGCGUAGAUAUUAGGAAGAACACCAGUGGCGAAGGCAGCUUACUGGACCGUAACUGACGUUGAGGCUCGAAAGCGUGGGGAGCAAACAGGAUUAGAUACCCCUGUAGUC
rnacentral:rRNA from 1 species